GUAUCACUUGUAGCCUAUCACUAGGCUAUACAUACUGAAUAGUAGCCUUGUAUAGCCUAAGUUAGAUUCCCAUUUGCCAAUAAACAGAGGCCUAUUGGAUUCGGGUCUUUUUCAAAGUUAAUAUUAUUUCAAUGUCGCUAUGCAGACGCCAUGUCCCUUUUGCAGCAAAGGUUGUGCAUUUCAGCCAGAAUUUCCCUUUAAAUGUUGGAAUGUUGGAACUGGUUGACCAUCAUAUUUAAUUGCAACUUGUAUCAACCGGAUAGACCUAAUAUAUCAAGACUUAUAUUAUGUUUUUAUUAUUCCCAUAACUAAUAUAUCAUACUUUGCAGUCACUUUGAGAUGGGCGAGUGGAGAAGUCAAGGCUGGUGGAUGACACGACUGCCGCAAGCGGCGCUGCGGAUUUUCCAGUGGCAGCAGCAGACAAUAGCACAGGGAGGAGGCAGCAUCAGGCUCCCUCUCCGGCCAGAAUCCGGGAAUGUGCCUCAAAAUCAGCCCCAAAAUCCUCCAGCAGAUCCAAAAAUAUAGUUUCAAAAGGAGGAUCGAGGAAUAAGGUAGUAAACGAGGGGCGUAGGGCCGCAGUCGUGAGGGAGGAGAUCGAGAGAUGCGACGUUGCAGCUGUUUACCUAGAUGGUGCUGAAACGGAUGCUGGCAAUGCCAACAGGGCGGAUGCUAGCAGAGAAGAAGAUACAGAGGAGAUAUUUCACCAGAUUCUCAAACCCGUAGUUCGUCGAAGCAGAGAAGAAGAUACAGAGGAGAUAUUUCACCAGAUUCUCAAACCCGUAGUUCGUCGUAGCAGGGAAUAAGAUACAGAGGAGAUAUUUCACCAGAUUCUCAAACCCGUAGUUCGUCGUUAGGUGUAUCCCUGCCUCAAAGGCCUGUCUUCCCAACAUAUUGGGUCAUACCGGCUCCAGCACCGCGUGUUUGGUGAAAGGGAAAACGAAGAAGCUGGGAGGGGAGUCGGUGAAAGCUUCAGCGGGCUACUGCAGGGACAGAAGAGGGGAAUACGUGGGCUGCGGGCCGGGCCUUAGUCUGUGGAGCGAGGGUUGCUUGCAGACUGAACUCUGCACUUCCACCUACAUAAGAAACUGAAGAGAAGCAUCAGCAAGAUGCACACGGCUGACAGCGCCGAGGCCGAGCCGGAGCCGUCUAUCGGGACCAUAGAGGCGGAGUUCGUGACACAGCAAGAUGAGGGCCUUGAGGACGAAUUGGAGAGACUGGUGGAUGAGAAUGAAGAUCUAAAGAUGGAGAUCGAGGAGAUGAGGACGGAGAUGGACGAGAUGCGUGACACCUUCUACGAGGAGGACACGUGCCAGCUGCAGGAAAUGAGACGCGAGCUGGAGCGAGCCAAUAAGAACUGCCGGAUCCUCCAGUACCGGCUGAGGAAGGCUGAGAGGAAGAAGCUGCGCUAUGCCCAGACGGGAGAGAUCGACGAGGAACUACUGAGGAGCCUGGAGCAGGACUUGAAGGUAGCGAAGGAUGUGUCUGUGAGACUGCACCAUGAGUUGGAGAAUGUGGAGGAGAAACGCACAAAGACAGAGGACGAAAACGAGAAACUGAGGCAGAAACUCAUCGAGGUGGAGGUGACCAAACAGGCCCUUCAGAAUGAGCUGGACAAAGUCAAGGAGUCUCAGAAGAGAAGAGGAAGCAAGGAGGUCCAAAAGUCAGACAAGAAGUCUGCCCAGACCCCAACAGAGGAUGACAACGAUGAUCUCAAGUGCCAGCUGGCCUUCAUCAAGGAAGAGGCUGUAUUGUUGAGGAAGAAGACAGCUAAGAUCGACAAGGAGAAGGACCGGCUGGAGACGGAGCUACAGAAGUACCGCUCCUUCUAUGGGGACCUGGACAGCCCCCACCCCAAGGGUGAGGCCUGGGGACCCCCCACCACCCGUGAGUCCGAGCUGAAGCUGCGUCUGCGCCUGGUGGAGGAGGAGGCUAACAUCCUGGGGAGGAAGAUCGUGGAGCUGGAGGUGGAGAACCGGGGUCUGAGGGCGGAGCUGGACGACCUCAGGGGUGAAGGGGAGGGAGAAGGCGGGUCCGGUGGGGGGGCUGUGGGUGGGAUGGGGGCAGGCCGGGGCCAUGGGGAGGCUAUGACGGAGCUGAGGCAACAGCUUCAGCUGGUGGAGGACGAGGCAGAGCUCCUGAGGAGGAACCUGGCCGAUGCUGAAGAUCACAACAAGAGAGUGACGGGAGAACUCAACAAGCUCAGGUUUAAGGCCGGGACCCACGAGGGAGGGGCAAGGCAUGGAGGAGUGGCGGCAGGAGGAGUAUGUUCGGAGAAGGCAGAGGCACUGCAGGAAGAACUGAAGACGGCCCGGCUACAGAUUAAUGAUCUCAGUGGGAAGGUGAUGCAGCUGCAGUAUGAGAAGCGUGUUCUGCUCUCCAACAUGCAGCGCUACGACCUGGCCUCCCACCUGGCCCUAAGGGGGGGCAUCAGCCCUCGGGACAGCGAUGCAGAAAGUGACGCAGGAGGGAUCGGACCGAGCGGGCGCCGCGAAAGCGAUGAUGACUCCUCCUCCUCUCGCCUCCAGCCCCCGCACCGCAAACGCGAGGGCCCAGUGGGCGGGGAGAGUGACUCGGACGAGGUGCGGAACCAAACCCGCUGCCUCACGCCUACCCGGGGUCUCUAUACCCCACCCCCUGAGACCGCCGCCCGCUUCCUGCCCCGCAACCUACAGGAUCGCCAGCAGAUGAUUGACAUUCGAGUGGAGGCGGAGCAUCUUGGCAGGACCAUCGACCGGCUCAUCGCCGACACGGCAACUAUAAUCGCAGAGGCACGGGUGUACGUUUCCAACAGCGACCUGUAUGGGCGGGGUGAGGAGGAGGAGGAGGGUGGGAGGAUCAGGGAGCAUGAGCUGCUGUACAGGAUCAAUGCCCAGAUGAAGGCCUUCAGGAAGGAGCUACAGGGCUUCAUAGACAGACUGGAGGUGCCCAAACCUGAGGACAGGGAGGAGGAACCACUGUCGCAUAGCCACAUCCUUUGUUUGUUUGUUUGUUUGUGUUAUUUUUUUAAACAUUUGUUGCCAAGGUCACCGAACAGGAGCCUCCCUCUUCAAGCACAGGUCACAGUCACAUAACAGGAUAUAUGCUUAGGUUCAACACUGGAGACUACUUUUCCCAACACCCACCACUUCCUUCAUCACCCCCAAGAAAAGUGUUCCUCUAACAUUUCCACACCUUGGUGACCCCUUAAAGACAAACAGCUAGGAAGUUGAAAAAGAAAGGAAGUUAGGAAGUUUAAACAGAAGAAGGAAGAAGAAGUUGUUGGUGGAAGAAAAGAAAGUUGUGACAGGAAGUAAAAAGUUGCUGCAGGAAGCGGCCCAAAAUGG